UUUUCACUUCAGACUCUCAGUCUCAGAGUUCAGAUGGUCUUGGCUUCCCUUUCAUGCUUCCUCCUCUUUUCACUCUUCGUCACCUCUUCACUUCUUUAGUCUCAGUUCUCUACUUGGCUCUCUCAAACUCUCACUGUCUCACUUCUCUAUUUAGUAUUUUGGUUCGCUCUUCAACACUCACUAAAUAGUUUCCCCAAAUCCAAACCCUAGCCACCUCCAAUGCCAUAGCCCACUCCCCUCUCCGCCUCCAAUGCCUAGCCAUCGCCGCCACUGUCCACUCCUCUCUCUGUAGCUACCACUGGUGUUUAGUCCUCACCUUGCUGUUGUGUACUCUUCACUAAGUCAGUUCAUACUCCAAACGCUUAGGAUUGAGACUCCAAGUAGCAUUUUCUGCCUUCAAGUUUGAAACCCAUACAGCCAUGGUUUUCUUUAAGGAUUGAAAGCUGACUCCAAGUAGCAUUUUCUGCCUUCAAGUUUGAAACCCAUACACCCACGGUUUUCUUUAAGGACUGACUUGAAGAAUUUAGAUCAUUUUCCAUUUCUGAUGUUGGACGAAUUUUCAGUUCAUGGGAACCUCCACUAAUGAACCCUCUGUCCAAACACCAAUUGCUACACAAGAUGAUGGUGCUAUUCCCACCCAAGUUGAAGCUUCUACUACUACCCAAGUUAAAGCAGCUGCUGUUGCUGAGUUGCCCACAGUUCCACCAUGCCAAUUUUAAAUCAACAACCAACAGCAAGUGCAACAGCAAAUACCAGCUUAAGCAAGGGUUCCACUUCAAGCAAACGACCCUUAAUUAGCAUUGAUGAUUAAUCACUAACUUGGAGGAUGGUCAUUUAUUUUGUAAAGAAGGCAGCUUUGUGGGAAUAUUUUGGAAGCUUUUUUGGAUAUAUUGCUUUUCUAACUUCUAGCAAUACUCAUCUGCCAAUGCAUAUAGAAAAGAAAUCUUAGUUCAUAGGUUUUCUUUUCUAUUAGUUAUAGACUUAUAAACUAUAGAGUAGUCAUUCAAUGCUUUGGGAAAGCUAUUUUUUAAAAAUACUUAUGGUAUUUGAUUAUUGUAACUAAUUAUAUUGCUUGGAACAUUUUAUAACUAGCAAGCUUUUUGCCUUAUGGUUUA